ensembl:lncRNA
CCUGUUGUGUUAAAUAUAUCCCAAUGCUACUACAGCUUAUAGGAAUGACCGCAUCAGUGCGGUGUGGCAUGGAAGGAAUCAGCCUGUGGCACUGUUGAGGUGUUAUGGAAGCCCAAGCUGCUUUGAUAGCGGCCUUCAGCUCGUCUGUAUUGUUGGGUCUGGUGUCUCUUGUAGAUUCUCCAUGGGGUUCGGGUCAGGCGAGUCGGCUGGCCAAUCAAGCACAGUAAUACCAUGGUCAGCAAACCAGUUACUAGUAGUUUUGGCACUGUGGACAGAAAAGGAAAUCAGAAUCUCCAUAAAGCUUGUCAGCAGAUGGAAGCAUGAAGUGCUGUAAAAUCUCCUGGUAGAUGGUUGCAUUGACUCUCGACUUGAGAAAACACAGUGGACCAACACCAGCAGAUGACAUGGCUCCCCAAAUCAUCACUGUCUGUGGAAACUUCACACUGGACUUCAAGCAACUUGGAUUCUGUUCCUCUCCACUCUUCCUCCAGACUCUGGGACCUUGAUUUCCAAAUGAAAUGCAACAUUUACUUGCAUCUUCUCC